CCUACGGGAGGCAGCAGUGAGGAAUAUUGGGCAAUGGACGGAAGUCUGAACCAGCCAUGCCGCGUGCAGGAUGACGGCUCUAUGAGCUGUAAACUGCUUUUGUACGAGAAUAAUAUUUCUUACGUGUAGGGAUUUGAAUGUAUGGUACGAAUAAGGAUAGGCUAACUCCGUGCCAGCAGCGGCGGUAAUACGGAGGUGUCGAGCGUUAACCGGAUUUGUUGGGUUUAAAGGGUGCGUAGGCUGUCGGAUAAGUUAGAGGUGAGAUGACGGGGCUUAACGCCGUGACUGCCUCUGAUACUGUUCAACUAGAGUGCGGAUGAGGAAAGCGGAAUGAGAGGUGUAGCGGUGAAAUGCUUAGAUAU
rnacentral:rRNA from 1 species